rnacentral:rRNA from 1 species
CCCUACGGGUGGCAGCAGUGGGGAAUAUUGCACAAUGGGCGCAAGCCUGAUGCAGCGACGCCGCGUGAGGGAUGACGGCCUUCGGGUUGUAAACCUCUUUCAGCAGGGAAGAAGCGCAAGUGACGGUACCUGCAGAAGAAGCGCCGGCUAACUACGUGCCAGCAGCCGCGGUAAUACGUAGGGCGCAAGCGUUGUCCGGAAUUAUUGGGCGUAAAGAGCUCGUAGGCGGUUUGUCGCGUCUGCUGUGAAAACGCGCGGCUCAACCUCGCGCCUGCAGUGGGUACGGGCAGACUAGAGUGCGGUAGGGGAGACUGGAAUUCCUGGUGUAGCGGUGGAAUGCGCAGAUAUCAGGAGGAACACCGGUGGCGAAGGCGGGUCUCUGGGCCGUAACUGACGCUGAGGAGCGAAAGCAUGGGGAGCGAACAGGAUUAGAUACCCUUGUAGUC